GGUAGUGUAGCCAAGUGGUUACGGCGUCACGUUUAGGUCAAGGCUCAAACCGUGAUGGGUUUCCCGCGCGAGUUCGAAUCUCGUCACUAUCA
rfam:Phlebia centrifuga strain FBCC195 PHLCENscaffold_1501, whole genome shotgun sequence.